rnacentral:misc_RNA from 1 species
GAUGAAGAACGCAGCGAAAUGCGAUACGUAAUGUGAAUUGCAGAAUUCAGUGAAUCAUCAAGUCUUUGAACGCACAUUGCGCCCCCUGGUAUUCCGGGGGGCAUGCCUGUCCGAGCGUCAUUGCUGCCCUCAAGCACGGCUUGUGUGUUGGGCCUCCGUCCUCCUCCCGGGGGACGGGCCCGAAAGGCAGCGGCGGCACCGCGUCCGGUCCUCGAGCGUAUGGGGCUUCGUCACCCGCUCUUGUAGGCCCGGCCGGCGCUUGCCGACACAUCAAUCUUUUUUCCAGGUUGACCUCGGAUCAGGUAGGGAUACCCGCUGAACUUAAGCAUAUCAAUAAGCGGAGGA